rnacentral:rRNA from 1 species
AUACGGAGGAUGCAAGCGUUAUCCGGAUUUAUUGGGUUUAAAGGGUGCGUAGGCGGUUUGCUAAGCGGGAGGUGAAAUGCCGGCGCUCAACGUCGGAAGUGCCUCCCGAACUGGUGGACUGGAAUGACUCUGCCGUGGGAGGAAUGUGUAGUGUAGCGGUGAAAUGCUUAGAGAUUACACAGAACACCGAUUGCGAAGGCAUCUCACGAAGGGUUGAUUGACGCUGAGGCACGAAAGCGUGGGGAUCAAACAGGAUUAGAUACCCUGGUAGGCCACGCAGUAAACGAUGAUGGCUAACCGCUGGUUUUUUCGGAUCAGUGGCCAAGCGAAAGCGAUAAGCCAUCCACCUGGGGAGUACGACCGCAAGGUUGAAACUCAAAUGAAUUGACGGGG